rnacentral:lncRNA from 1 species
CUGUAGUCAAUUUAAACAUAAGGGGAAAGAGCCACCAGACCAAAGGUCAGAUUUAGAGGAGACAACUAAGGAAGAAAUGAAGCUGGAAAACAUUGUAGCUACAAAAUAAGCAAAGAAUCCAGGGGCAUCCAAGUGGCACAGUGGAUUAAAGUGCUAGUCUUGGAAGUUCAAAUAUGGCAUCAGACACAUCCUAGCUGUGUGACCCUGGCAAGUCACUUCACCUCGUUUGCCUCGACCUUGUCUUUCCUUAGAAUUAUUACUAAUUCAGGAGGUAAGGAUUUAAAAAAAUUUAAAAAGAAUCUAGAAUCCAGGAGAAUAGACAGUCAAGAAACAGCCAACUGGACUAGGAUCUGGGGGAAAGGACCAGGAAACCAAGAAAAGCAAGUAGGCUGGACCUGGAGACCAGAAGCCAGAACUUCAGUUGACUUUUGUGCUCAACAGUUCUGGAGAUCCCUAAGCCCAUCAGCAGAGUCUCCAUAGCACCAGAGGCCUUCCAAGUCCAGCCAUUCGUUAGUCCACUUUGCCAGAUGACACCAAAGGAGCCCUCAGUGGCCAACUACUUCUAGAGGAGCAAAUUAAACAUGCACAUGCGUACUCGUACAGGCGUGCAGACCCCCAUAAACACACCGCACAACAAAUUAACAGCCCAAGCUUGUCUUUUUCAUUGUGUUUUUAUUAUGAUGCUUCUCAAUGAUGUUUUAAAAUGAAUUUUGAAUAGUCCCCUUAAUUUGGUUCAUUCUGCAUUGUAACGCAACUGGGAGGGCCCCGCAGGAAUUGCUGCUAGGAAUGCAAUAUUAUGUGAGCAUGGAUUCUGCUUGUUUUCCU